rnacentral:rRNA from 1 species
ACGAACGCUGGCGGCGUGCUUAACACAUGCAAGUCGAACGGAAAGGCCCUGCUUUUGUGGGGUGCUCGAGUGGCGAACGGGUGAGUAACACGUGAGUAACCUGCCCUUGACUUUGGGAUAACUUCAGGAAACUGGGGCUAAUACCGGAUAGGAGCUCCUGCUGCAUGGUGGGGGUUGGAAAGUUUCGGCGGUUGGGGAUGGACUCGCGGCUUAUCAGCUUGUUGGUGGGGUAGUGGCUUACCAAGGCUUUGACGGGUAGCCGGCCUGAGAGGGUGACCGGCCACAUUGGGACUGAGAUACGGCCCAGACCCCUACGGGAGGCAGCAGUGGGGAAUAUUGCACAAUGGGCGGAAGCCUGAUGCAGCAACGCCGCGUGCGGGAUGACGGCUUUCGGGUUGUAAACCGCUUUCGCCUGUGACGAAGCGUGAGUGACGGUAAUGGGUAAAGAAGCACCGGCUAACUACGUG